ACGUACGCUGGCGGCGUGCUUAACUCAUGCAAGUCGCACGGAAAGGCCCUGCUUUUGUGGGGUGCUCGAGUGGCGAACGGGUGAGUAACACGUGAGUAACCUGCCCUUGACUUUGGGAUAACUUCAGGAAACUGGGGCUAAUACCGGAUAGGAGCUCCUGCUGCAUGGUGGGGGUUGGAAAGUUUCGGCGGUUGGGGAUGGACUCGCGGCUUAUCAGCUUGUUGGUGGGGUAGUGGCUUAUCAAGGCUUUGACGGGUAGCCGGCCUGAGAGGGUGACCGGCCACAUUGGGACUGAGGGACGGCCCAGACUCCUACGGGAGGCAGCAGUGGAGAAUAUUGCGCAAUGGGCGGAAGCCGGAUGCAGCAACGCCGCGUGCGGGAUGACGGCCUUCGGGUUGUAAACCGCUUUCGCCUGUGACGAAGCGUGAGUGACGGUAAUGGGUAAAGAAGCACCGGCUAACUACGU
rnacentral:rRNA from 1 species